rnacentral:rRNA from 1 species
GAUGAACGCUGGCGGCGUGCUUAACACAUGCAAGUCGAACGAUGAAGCGCAGCGUGCUGGGUGCUUUAGUUGCGAACGGGCGAGUAACAAGUGAGUAACCUGCCCUUGACUCUGGGAUAAGUCUGGGAAACUAGGCCUAAUACUGGAUAUGACUUCUCAUCGCCUGGUGGGGGGAGGAAAGAUUGAUUGGUCUUGGAUGGCUUCGCGGCGUAUCAGCUUGUUGUUGAGGUAAUGGCUCACCAAGGCGAUACCGGGUAGCCGGCCUGAGAGGGUGACCGGCCACACUGGGACUGAGACACGGCCCAGACUCCUACGGGAGGCAGCAGUGGGGAAUAUUGCACAAUGGGCGCAAGCCUGAUGCAGCGACGCCGCGUGAGGGAUGACGGCCUUCGGGUUGUAGACCUCUUUCAGUAGGGAAGAAGCGAGAGUGACGGUACCUGCAGAAGAAGCGCCGGCUAACUACGUG